ACGAAGGUAGCAAUACUUAGUGGCAGACGGGUGAGUAACAUGUUAGGUAUCUACCCUUUGGCCUGGAAUAACACGAGGAAACUUGUGCUAAUACCGGAUAAGUCUUUACAGAGAAAGCUUUAUGCACCAUUGGAUGAGCCUGCACUAGAUUAGUUUGUUGGUGGGGUAAUGGCCUACCAAGACUAUGAUCUAUAGCUGAUUUGAGAGGAUGAUCAGCCACAUUGGAACUGAGACACGGUCCAAACUCCUACGGGAGGCAGCAGUAGGGAAUCUUGCACAAUGGAGGAAACUCUGAUGCAGCGAUGCCGCGUGAGUGAAGAAGGCCUUUGGGUUGUAAAGCUCUUUCG
rnacentral:rRNA from 1 species